CAGAGGAACCCUCAUGGGAAUCUGGCUUCCUGCACCUGCCAACGCCCUGCCCCAUGCCAGGAACUCAGGCUUCCCGGGCCAGGGCCAGGCAAUUCCAGCACCCACGCCUCUCUGGAUCCCUGUUCUGCUCUUGUAGGCUGUUGUCUCACAAAUGCUGAAAGGCAUCUGAGAUGAAACUGAGAGGGGCCAGACGCCCUCCGGAGACCCCCCAAUUCAUUCAUCCCAACAGACAGAUGGCAUGUGCCCUUUGCUGGGUCCUGUGCUAUGAGGAAGAGAAAGCGGAGGAGAAGAAGCCCCACCGGCCUUCAGGAGUUCACAGGUGGUGGAGGAGAUGGAGGAGCAGAGAGGUACAGGUUUCAAAGGCUGUAAAUUACAAAUUAAGUUUCCUUUUACUCCCAUGAGACUGGAGAACAGCCAGAUCCUGGAUCGACAAAAAGAAAAGAGGGGGAAACACACUUUCUGAUGCAUUGCUGAACUCCCAGGAGGGGAAUGAAAUCUCCAAAGACCAACACUCCUGCACUGCUACACACAGAGCAAUGAGAAGGGAUGAGCAAGAGAAGGGACCAGAAGGGCCUGGAGCUCUAGGCAAGAGGGGGUGUGAGGUCCCCGUAAAGACAAGCGCCACCAGCAGCGCUGCCUCAGGACACGAGCCCCGCAGUGGGAGUGGAGCACCCUGGGGCCCCGCAGAAUCCAGGACCCUGAGGAUGGGGACCUGGCUGCUUAUAAAGCAGAGGCCUGGAAGAAGAACCACCCCAUGUGAGCCAUCAGAAUCCCCACAACCACAAAGAAGCAGAUAUGGGUUUAUAAAGACCAUCAAGCAGAGAGCAGGUGGCCCCAUGUGUGGGAGAAAGGACAAAAAGAUUUAGAUCCUGAGGAGCCCAGACACUAGAAUGAGCAGAAACAGGAUAUGGUUGGUGUGUAGAACAUGUUUAAAGAGAACAUGCCUGAAGAAUGACUGUGCAGAUCUUCAAAUGAAACAAAAGGAAUGUGUAGAAAGGAAAGAUAUGAUUUUGGAAAUAAUUAACUCAAUGGAUGAGUCAAACAAUAAAUGAGAGGUCACUACCCAAAAUGACUGUUUCCGGUCUUGUCCUUUCUCCUCAAGUCCCCAACACCUUGCUGUCAUCCUCACUCAGGUGAUACCUCAUCAAGCAGCCAGAGGAGAUCCCCCCAAACUUCUAUGCCAAUAUCUGCAUCCACAUGCAACCUUCAUUCCUAUUUGUAGUGAUGAACUUUUCAUGCCCCAACCAGAAGGAAUUCCACCUGUGUUCCAGAACCAUCUCUCCACACCUCCGAAGGGCAUUGUUUAGACAGUCUCUCCUCUCUCCCACACUGUUCACUUUCUCUCUCUGCUGGAACAGUUUCAUCACCUUUUAAUGACCUAACUCAAGAGUGAAAUGGAUUCAAUGCUCAGAGCCAAUUCUUUUUUUCAUCCCUUGGAUAGCUGAAAUUGCACCUCGAGGAGCUUCUUCAAGACAGGCUGAAAUGAACCUUACUUCCUGAGUUCUUGUAUGUUCACCUAUUCCUGCUGCCUUCAGAUUGACAGUUUGGCUAGGUAUAAAAUGGCUUUCUUGGCUAUGUCACAGGCAUGGCUCUUCUGUCCUCUGGCUGUGGAGAAGACUAAAGACAGACUGAUGUUCUUCCACCUAUAGGUCCCUCACCUGUUACACGCAGAGGACAGCUCCAACUCGCCAGGUGAUGGCGAGGAGUGACCGAGGUAAACACGUGGAUGGUUCCCCGCCCAUCUGUUCCCACACACGCAAUCCCGUGAGGGGCCAGAGCUGAGCAGCCCAGACGGGAACAAAGUGCCGGUCCGUGCUGCGAAUGGAUGAACCCCGAAAACACUGUUACGUAGAAGAAGCCAGUCACACAUGACCACGGGUUGUAUGACUCCUUUUAGAUCAGCGGUUCCCAAUCUGUGGGUUGUGACCCCUUUGGCGGUCGAACGACCCUUUCACAGGGGUCGCCUAAGACCAUCCUGCAUAUCAGAUAUUUACAUGACGAUUCAUAACAGUAGCAACAUGACAGUUAUGAAGUAGCAACGAAAAUAAUUUUAUGGUUGAGUCACAACAUGAGGAACUGUAUUUAAAGGGCCAGAAGGUUGAGAACCACUGUUUUAGAUGAAAUAUCCAGGCAAACCAAUAGGGAUGGGAAGCAGAUUCGCAGUUGCCUAGGGCUGGGGGAAGGGAGCAGUGAAUAACACAGCCAGUGCUUCGUGAGCACGGAGUUUCCCUUGGGGAUGAUGGAAAAGCUCCGGAACUAAGUGAGGGUUGUACGACAUCAUGAACACACUUAAUGCCACUGAAUGUACAUUUCAAAACAGCUAAAAUGGUAAACUCGAUGUUAUUUGUACUUGACCACUGAAAAGACUGUACAAGUGUCCAUCCUCGGAAUUGCCCAAUGGAAACCAGAAUAAGCUUCGCGAUUAAGCAGCUGGUUCUAUCUAGAUCUUAACUGAAGACCAAUGAGCAGAAUCCCAGAAACGCUACAGGAGCCAUCCGACCAUCUGUAAUGCAGAUCUGAGCACGCACUUGGCUUUGAAUGAUCCGUGGUCUCUGGAGCCUUAACUUUGCUGCCUAACACAGGUCAGCCUUCGGUGGCUUGACACAGCGUCCAUUUGAUCACGCUCACAUUCGUACGGGUCAGCGGGGCUGUUCCGCUCUGUGGCUGGCUGUUCUCUGCUCGUCUCUCUAAUGCAGUGGUUCUCAACCUGUGGGUCGCGACUCCUUUCGGGGUCGAACGACCCUUUCACAGGGGUCGCCUAAGACCAUCGGAAAACACAUAUUUUCGAUGGUCUUAGGAACUGAGACGCCGCUCCUCUAUCCGUCUCCAGGCGGGUCUGCCCACGUGCAGAUACGCCCACAUACAAGUACCCGGCGUAUUAAAGGGUCGCGACAUCAGGAAGGUUGAGAACCACUGCUCUCAUGUGUCUGUGAUCAGCGAGCAGGCCAACCAGUGGCGAAAGGAUCUGAUAGGGUCUCCUCUCGGGCUUGGCUGUUGGGGGCCUGGCUGGUUGGGGAGCCCCGGCUGGGAGGGCUGGUCUCUGCUCCGUGUGGUUUCUCAUCCCCCAGGGGGCUAACCUGCCUGCACAGAGCAGUUGGAGGGAGAAGCCACACAUCUCUGGAGGCCUCACUGCCACCACAUGCUACUGGUCAGAGCGGUCACAAGUCCCCCCGGAUUUCAUGGGUCCAGGAAACAGAGCCCCGUCCCGGCGGGAAGAGAUGCUGAGAAGCCGUGGCUAUUCCCCUGCCACCGUGCUCCCCAAACCCACGGUGUUGAAGGCCCCGGAUGCCCACUCUGCUGUGGUCUGUUUCCCCAACCCCCACUCAGUCCACCAAGUGCUCACCUCCAGGCGGGCGUGGCAAGCUGAGGCUCAGCCUGAGGCCAGAGCGCCCGCUUCGCACUCCGCCUGCUAAGUCACAGCUGGAAACAUCACAGCUCACCUGGCGCAGCUGGGGACGUGUCCCCGACGCCGAGGCGGCUGCAUUCGCGGGGACACAUCGAAAUACCUUCCGUGGUUUUUCUUACAACCCCCAUUUCUCUUUGUUUCAGGACGAAAGAGGCUUCUCGCCGGCUUUCCUGAUCCCGUGCCUAGAACCUCCUCCUGUCGGCUGCUGAGGCCUCUGGACCCUUCACGUCGCCAGGAAGGGGGUUCCUUCCAAGCGGAAGAAACAGCGAGUGAAGCCAGUGAGAGGGACACAAACCUCCGUCCAGCGUGGCCCGAAUCCAGGGCAUGUGAAACCCGGCUUUUGUCCAGAAAGAGAGCCCAUCGGUCCAGCUGCUACCCCGGCUCCAGCUCCAGCAAGAGGGGCCGGGAGGCCUCCUCCGAGCCGUCCUCCUCUGCACCGUCUCCUGUCCUCUCCAGGCGCAUCCGCCAUGCGGCCAAGGGAAGAAACAGCCGUAAAUCACCUACCCCCAGUCCCUGUGAAAUACCGCAGAUGCUCAGAACGGAGGGGGGUCAGCCCAGGCCCGGCAGGGCUGCCCCAGAUCCUGCAGAGCUGGAAGCAGGAGUUUGAGAGCUCGGUAUCAAUGGGAUCCCCGAAGGCUCCACCCUCCAUAAGUCAGCCCCAGCUUGGCAGCCUCACCGGACGCUUCCCGCCUGGUUCACACGAGGGUGAGGGGUGGCUGCUGGCAGAGGAUCCCCCGGGGACGCGAAGGCGUGGGCUUAACCUGGCCUGACCCCCCCGGAGGCCCACACGUGUGCUCAGCGUCCCACACACCACGCACAGCCCCGGGAUUGCACAACAGCAUUCUGCUGCUGCAGGGAACACCAUGUCCAGGCAGAGCCCAACCCCUCGGCCCUCCGCAGACAAAGAGCACAGCGGCCGGGCCCUGGGUGCUGCCCACGGCAGGAGGAUCGAUUUCAGUCUGAGCCCCGCCACGCGCUCAGCGGGCAAGAGACACCCCCUCUCUCGGCUCCAGUGGCGUCCUCCAUAGAAUGAGAAUCAACGGUGCAACCGGUUCAGCCCAGCUCGUGGCGUGUGGGGCGCAACCUCCGUGUCCCCCGGGCCUGCCCGGGUCUUGCGGCUGCACCAGAACGAGGCGGUGGGUGGGGCGGGAUGAGAGGACGGACGUGCCCCGGGGAUUUCUGCUGGAUUCCCACUUGAUGGGAUAAGCUGCCUGGAGAAAUCGGCUGCUCUGACCUCUCCUUUCAUGUCCAGCCAGGACUAUUGCUGCUCGAGCAUGAGGCUGCCUGCAGGCUCCUAAGCCAUCUCCGGAGAGCCCCGGGGUCAGCUGUCCCUGAAUGACUCUGGCCUUGGCUGGGAAACCUGUGCCAGGAGAAAUGGUGAAAGUGGAAUAAACAAGGAGCCUUCCUGCAAAAACAGGCCUGAGCUCAAGAGCCGAGUUGCUGUCUGCGGCCCCUGUGUCUGGAGUCACGGGGAAGGAGGGCCCGGGCUUCGGGACAACGGGGACCUGUUCUUCCCGUUCGGAGAGGGCACUGAGUCACAGGUGAGCAGCAGGACAGAGCUGCCGCCGGUGACACGUCCCAGCCAGCCACGUGUCUCUUGGUAAGACGGGCAUUUCCCCAAGUGCCGCCCGGCUCUUAAGUCCCAACCUUGAUCGCACCAAGGUAACCGCAGGUGAUGGAAAAGCAGAGACGUUCGGAGACGGAAUUGCCAGCCUCUGGCCCCCAGCACUGCAGCUCAGUUGCCGUGUGACACUGGGUGACGGACUGAUGGCCUUGUCCCGGGCAGGAGGACAAAUACCACACGGUCGCUCUGGUGUGAGGUCCCGAGAAACCAAGAAAGAGGCACCAUGCCUGGCGGGUCUCUCUGGGCUUUUGGGCAACAUAAUCUUCAUUUGGGUGUAUUUCUCCAGCCCAUUUACCCCCAAACAGCGGCUAAGUUUUGAGAACAAGAAGGGCUGUGGGGCGUCAGUGUCUGAUGGGGACAGAGUUUCCCGUUCCGGAAGAUGGAAAAGUUCUGGAGAUGGAUGAUGGGGAUCGAUGGUUGCACCCAAUGCCACUGAACCGGGUGCUUAAAAACAGUUGAAAUGGUAAAUUUUAUGUUCAGACCUUUUACUAUAAUUUUUAAAACCUUUAAGAAAAUAAAAGGGAAGACUACACUUUUAAAUACAAAAUAUGAUAUUGCCAGUAUAAUUUAAUUCAUGGUGUUAUAUGAACUGUGCAAAAAAAAUGCAUAAGCCUUAAAGUUUUAUAAGUAGCAAUAACUAAAGAUUGGAAGGGGGCCUGAGUGAGUCUCGUCGUUACAGUGGGGGUGGGGGCUCAGCGAACGGGUGCUGCUCCGGGCACUUGGGCACCUCGGAGUGUGCUUACAAUGGGCGUUGCCCAUGAACACUGGCCAAGUGGCCAACUGGCCAACGAACCCACGAGGCGGCCAGGAAGGUCCAGGAACAGGCAUGGGCUCCCCGAGGGCAGAGUGGCGGGUGGAGACUUCCUCUGCACCCCCGAGGGGGGGUCCAUCGGCCACCUUCCCGUCUCAUGCCGUUUCUUGGCCGUGCUUCCUCCAUUGCAUCUUUCUUCUCUGAGCUUAAUCAUGAAUUAAAUUCUUUUCAUUUUUCUCUCGAUGCAAAAUAACUGAGAAAUGAAAACAAUAUAUACCAGCUGAUGAAAACUC